CCUACGGGUAGCAGCAGUGGGGAAUAUUGGACAAUGGGCGAAAGCCUGAUCCAGCCAUGCCGCGUGUGUGAAGAAGGCCUUCGGGUUGUAAAGCACUUUCAGUGGGGAAGAAAGCCUUGGGGCUAAUACCCUCGAGGAAGGACAUCACCCACAGAAGAAGCACCGGCUAACUCCGUGCCAGCAGCCGCGGUAAUACGGAGGGUGCGAGCGUUAAUCGGAAUUACUGGGCGUAAAGCGCGCGUAGGCGGUCUGAUAAGCCGGUUGUGAAAGCCCCGGGCUCAACCUGGGAACGGCAUCCGGAACUGUCAGGCUAGAGUGCAGGAGAGGAAGGUAGAAUUCCCGGUGUAGCGGUGAAAUGCGUAGAGAUCGGGAGGAAUACCAGUGGCGAAGGCGGCCUUCUGGACUGACACUGACGCUGAGGUGCGAAAGCGUGGGUAGCAAACAGGAUUAGAUACCUUGUAGUC
rnacentral:rRNA from 1 species